AACAGAAUAUUUUUAUCAGUCAUAAUUAAUAUUCCCGAGUUGUACACUAAAAACCCUGUUCAGAAGCCACACGCCCCUCAUUGAGUUACUAAACCGGUUAAAACUCAAAAGAAAAUAGCCUUGAAACUUGAAUAUUGCCAUCAAAGGCCCGAAAAAUACGUAUUUCUAACUUUAGUAACGGUGUACGGGUUUUAGCAAACCGUCGAAAAAAAAACAUAAAGUUGUUAAAUCCUCGGGUAGAGGUCGCACAGCGGGGAGUAAAGUGUCAAAAUACAUCAGAAAACUCCAUGUGAACAAGCAAAGCUCGCAAAUUACGGGGGAUGAUGGAGUGAAUUAAUAUAUUGUCACCUUAGAUUACAGAUACAAAAAUGACAGUAAUUCGUUGUUUAUCCUACAAAACUAACUAAAUCAAAAUAUGUAUGUCAUUUUAUGACAAAUAAAUUUCAAUACGCACACUAAAAAUAAAUUGAAUAUUCAAAAUCUCAUUAAACACCGCAUAAUUCAUUCAAACUGGCGAGUAUGUUAAUUGGUGCGAUGCUGGCGGAUCUGAAAAAUGUGAAAACUUUACGAAAAACCGCCAAAUCUAUCAAUAGCCAGGAAUAAUUAACGACUGAUAAUGUUUUUUUCUACUCAAAAUAUGUGAGAAGCAGAAGCAGAAACAAAGAAAAUAUUUGACUGCCAUAGUUUUUAGGAACCCAGCUGUCAAAGAGAGACCAGAUGGGGGCCUUCCACUGUUUUGUAUGUUUAUGUAUGCAGCCCAAAAUGUUUGUACUUUGUCUUACAAAAAGCUUGCACAAGUCUUGGAAAUGUCAAAAGGCUAAAUAAAUCUACGGCUACUGACCAACAAGGCGCGGCUGUGAAAGAUGCGUGACAGGUAAUCGUGAUGACCUCAGAGCCUCCUCUCCCCAUUGCCAUUAGUCUGUGCAGACUGCAGGCAUCUGUGUUUCUUAAUGCGAAUUUAAUUUCUUAUUGUCUGCCGCUGCCUGCGAUUGAUCUAUGCACACGGAAAACACGCGGCUAAUACAAGAAGCUUUUUUGGUAGUCACAAUCCCAACUGGUCUGCAAUAACAGCAUGAUAUCAUUCGACCAAUAAUAGAAUAAACGGCUUCAUAAACCACCACACAAUGCACAAUAAUUUGCUAUUAAUUGUAAAGAGAGAUUACACACACAAUAGGGACCGGUUAUUCCUGCAUAAAACUCUCUGUUAUUAUCGAAUUUCUACAACCAAUUAAAGCAAAUAAAGUUCGAAUGAAUACAAACAG